rnacentral:rRNA from 1 species
GACGUAGGGCGCGAGCGUUGUCCGGAUUUAUUGGGCGUAAAGAGCUCGUAGGCGGCUUGUUGCGUCGACUGUGAAAACGCGCGGCUUAACUGCGGGCUUGCAGUUGAUACGGGCAGGCUAGAGUUCGGUAGGGGAGACUGGAAUUCCUGGUGUAGCGGUGAAAUGCGCAGAUAUCAGGAGGAACACCGGUGGCGAAGGCGGGUCUCUGGGCCGAUACUGACGCUGAGGAGCGAAAGCGUGGGGAGCGAACAGG